UACAGCUUAAAUUCAUUCAACGAGGAUUCACUGAGUCCCUACUAUGUGCUAUGGAUGACCUGUCUAGGAUGUAUGGAUUGAAUAGUGGACAAAACCGCUGUGCUCACUGGACUUCAUUUUAACGCAUGUUCUUCUGACACUGAGUCAGAAGAAAAACCUAUGCACACAGCUGUCGAUUAAGGUGCCAGAAUAUGCCACCAACAGAAU